rnacentral:rRNA from 1 species
GCGCACGGGUGAGUAACGCGUAUGCAACCUUCCUGUAUCUGGAGGAUAGGCCUUGGAAACGAGGAUUAAUACUGCGUAACAUUAUAUUAUCGCAUGAUAAAAUAAUCAAAUCUACGGAGGAUACAGAUGGGCAUGCGUGCCAUUAGCUAGAUGGUAAGGUAAGGGCUUACCAUGGCGACGAUGGCUAGGGGUUCUGCAAGGAAGAUCCCCCACACUGGUACUGAGACACGGACCAGACUCCUACGGGAGGCAGCAGUGAGGAAUAUUGGUCAAUGGAGGCAACUCUGAACCAGCCAAGCCGCGUGAAGGAAGACUGUUCUAUGAAUUGUAAACUUCUUUUGUGACAGAGUAAAGAUAGCUACGCGUAGUUAUUUGCAAGUAUGUCAUGAAUAAGCAUCGGCUAACUCCGUGCCAGCAGCCGCGGUAAUACGGAGGAUGCAGGCGUUAUCCGGAUUUAUUAGGUUUAAAGGGUGUUCAGGCUGUCUGGUAAGUCAGAGGUGAAAGUCGGUUGCUUAACGAUCGAAUUGCCUUUGAAACUGUCAGACUUGAGUAUGGAUGCGGUAGGCGGAAUGUGUAGUGUAGCGGUGAAAUGCAUAGAUAUUACACAGAACACCGAUUGCGAAAGCAGCUUACCAAACCAGCACUGACGCUGAAGCACGAAAGCGUGGGUAGCGAACAGGAUUAGAUACCCUGGUAGUCCACGCAGUAAACGAUGCUCACUCGCUGUUGGCAAUAGAUCGUCAGCGGCUAAGGGAAACCGAUAAGUGAGCCACCUGGGGAGUACGAUCGCAAGAUUGAAACUCAAAGGAAUUGACGGGGGCCCGCACAAGCGGUGGAGCAUGUGGUUUAAUUCGAUGAUACGCGAGGAACCUUACCUGGGCUUAAAUGUACGAUGCAUAAGUGUGAAAGCACUUUUUCCUUCGGGACUUUGUACAAGGUGCUGCAUGGUUGUCGUCAGCUCGUGCCGUGAGGUGUCGGGUUAAGUCCCAUAACGAGCGCAACCCCUAUUGUUAGUUACCAGCGCGUAAAGGCGGGGACUCUAGCGAAACUGCCGGUGUAAACCGCGAGGAAGGUGGGGAUGACGUCAAAUCAGCACGGCCCUUAUGUCCAGGGCCACACACGUGUUACAAUGGCCGGUAC